GUUACAGUGGCAAGGCUCAAUGUACAGUAAAGACAACUGAUUGGUUAACAGCAGGCAGGGAAGGAAGCAACGAGAGAGGAAGACAUUGGUAAAUGGGAGACUUCACGGUUACACUGUAUGUGGACUGCUGCUGCGCCAUCAUUCACUUUGUCAACGUGCCGUUUGCUCACUUAGAAAACCUGCUGUCAGUGGAACGAAACGCUUAUGAAAAUCACGUCUGGAGUUUUAAAUGUUCUGGAAAUGUGUUGGAAAAUAAAGUAAUACAUUUAAGAAUGUGUUAGAAAAAGGAGCAUCAUCUAAUGUCCCCCCCGUUCUCCUUUUACAGGCCAUGUAUUUUCCCUCCCAUCAACCCUGCUACUCAAAGCAAAGAGAGGGGAGACCCAGCCAAGCUCCCCCUCCGGGAGCUCCCCCUCCAGGAGCUCCCCAUCCAGGAACACCAGAGGAAAGUGGAGGACAACAAGCAUCUACUUGAGGAGCUGGCGCGUAUGGAGGAGGAGCUGAUAGACCGUCUUCGCAGGGAGGUGGCGAGACAGAGAGAGCUGAACGUUCUGCGACAGGAGGACAACAGGCUACGCUGGAGGACACUGUGCUUCCUCCAGCUCAACCAGCGCCUCAAAAAGCCUGUUGUAACCAGCUAUUACAAGAACAUCCCGAUGCACAUCUACUGUCUCCCUAUUCAGACUGUUGGAAAAGGCAACAGUAACAAGACGAAGAAGAAGAAUAAGAAGUGGCAGAGAUGAGAAGAAGAGGAAGUAGAAUAGGAGUGUAGUCUGGGAGGAUGCGUGUGACAGUUCAUCGGAGGAAGAGGAAGUAGAAUAGGAGUGCAGUCUGGGAGGAUGCGUGUGACAGUUCAUCGGUUCCACUUCCAUGUACCACUGUGGGACACAGGACUAUGGAAUUCACAAGUCCUGCUGAACACUGCUUCUUUAACAUUCUGUACUGCAUUGGGAAAAAAAAGAAAGUCACAAAGAAUAUUUUGGAUAUCUAUAUGCUCUCUCUCCGGUAUUUCUUACUUUGCCACUAUACUGAUAUACACUGCCUUCGGAAAGCAUUCAGACCCCUUCCCCCUUUUCCACAUUUUGUUACGUUACAGCCUUAUUCUAAUAUGGAUUAAAUAAAAUAAAAAAAUCCUCAGUAAUGUACACACAAUACACCACGAUGACAUCACAAUACACCACGAUGACAUCACAAUACACCACAAUGACAUCACAAUACACCACGAUGACAUCACAAUACACCACAAUACACCAUAAUGACAUAGAGAAAACAGGUUGUUCAUUAUUGUGUGUGCAAAUGUAUAAAAAUAAAUAAAAAAACACCUUGUUUACAUAAGUAUUCUGACUCUUUGCUAUGAGACUGGAAAUUGAGCUCAGGUGCAUCCUGUUUCCAUUUAUCAUCCUUGAGAUGUUUCCACAACUCGAUUGGCGUCCACCACAUUUCUGCAGCAUUGAAGUUCACCGAGAACACAGUGGCCUCCAUCAUUCUUAAAUGGAGGACGUUUGGAACCACCUAGACUCUUCCUAAAGCUGGCCGCAAAUGGGGGAGAAGGGCCUUGGUCAAGGAGGUGACCAAGGACCCGAUGGUCACUCUGACAGAGAUCUAGAGUUCCUCUGUGGAGAUGGGAGAACCUUCCAGAAGGACAACCAUCUCUGCAGCACUACACCAAUCAGGCCUUUAUGGUAGAGAGGCCAGACUGAAGCCACUCCUCUGUUAAAUACACAUGACCUCUUGCUUGGAGUUUUCCAAAAGG
rnacentral:lncRNA from 13 species